rnacentral:rRNA from 1 species
CAGUAGCCGCGGGAAUACAGAGGGUGCGAGCGUUAAUCGGAUUUACUGGGCGUAAAGCGUGCGUAGGCGGCUUUUUAAGUCGGAUGUGAAAUCCCUGAGCUUAACUUAGGAAUUGCAUUCGAUACUGGUAAGCUAGAGUAUGGGAGAGGAUGGUAGAAUUCCAGGUGUAGCGGUGAAAUGCGUAGAGAUCUGGAGGAAUACCGAUGGCGAAGGCAGCCAUCUGGCCUAAUACUGACGCUGAGGUACGAAAGCAUGGGGAGCAAACAGGAUUAGAUACCCGUGUAGUCCCUGUCUCUUAUAC